GACGAACCGUGCGAACGUUAUUCGGAAUCACUGGGCUUAAAGCGCGUGUAGGCGGGCCGCCACGUCGAAUGCUGAAAUCCCCCGGCUCAACCGGGGAACGGGCAUCGAUACGAGCGGCCUGGAGGGAGGUAGGGGGGGCUGGAACUUCCGGUGGAGCGGUGAAAUGCGUUGAGAUCGGAAGGAACGCCCGUGGCGAAAGCGAGCCCCUGGACCUUUUCUGACGCUGAGACGCGAAAGCUAGGGGAGCGAACGGG
rnacentral:rRNA from 1 species